rnacentral:rRNA from 1 species
CCUACGGGUGGCAGCAGUGAGGAAUAUUGGUCAAUGGGCGGAAGCCUGAACCAGCCAAGUCGCGUGAGGGAUUAAGGCCCUGCGGGUCGUAAACCUCUUUUGCCGGGGAGCAGAGGUCCGGACGUGUCCGGGCCGGGAGAGUACCCGGAGAAAAAGCAUCGGCUAACUCCGUGCCAGCAGCCGCGGUAAUACGGAGGAGGCGAGCGUUAUCCGGAUUUAUUGGGUUUAAAGGGUGCGAAGGGGGAGGUGCAAGUCAGUGGUCAAAUUGCGGGGGUCAACCCCGUACUGCCGUUGAAACUGCAUCCCUUGAGUGCGCGAGAAGUAUGCGGAAUGCGUGGUGUAGCGGUGAAAUGCAUAGAGAUCACGCAGAACUCCGAUUGCGAAGGCAGCAUACCGGCGCGCAACUGACGCUCAUGCACGAAAGCGUGGGUAUCGAACAGGAUUAGAUACCCGGGUAGUC